rnacentral:rRNA from 1 species
AAUAUUGGACAAUGGGGGCAACCCUGAUCCAGCUAUGCCGCGCGUGUGAAGAAGGUCUUCUGAUUUUUUUGCACUUUAAGUUGGUAGGAAGGGUUUUAGGUUAAUACUCUGAAGUUUUGACGUUACGAACAGAAUAAGCACCGGCUAACCCUGUGCCUGCAGCCGCGGUAAUACAGAGGGUGCAAGCGUUAAUCGGAAUUACUGGGCGUAAAGCGCGCGUAGGUGGUUCAGUAAGAUGGGUGUGAAAUCCCCGGGCUUAACCUGGGAACUGCUUUCAUAACUGCUGAGCUAGAGUACGGUAGAGGGUAGUGGAAUUUCCUGUGUAGCGGUGAAAUGCGUAGAUAUAGGAAGGAACACCAGUGGCGAAGGCGACUACCUGGACUGAUACUGACACUGAGGUGCGAAAGCGUGGGGAGCAAAC